CCAUGAUUUACAUUUGAGUGAGUGGCGAACUGGUGAGUAACACGUGGGAAACCUGCCCAGAAGCGGGGGAUAACACCUGGAAACAGAUGCUAAUACCGCAUAACAACUUGGACCGCAUGGUCCGAGCUUGAAAGAUGGCUUCGGCUAUCACUUUUGGAUGGUCCCGCGGCGUAUUAGCUAGAUGGUGGGGUAACGGCUCACCAUGGCAAUGAUACGUAGCCGACCUGAGAGGGUAAUCGGCCACAUUGGGACUGAGACACGGCCCAAACUCCUACGGGAGGCAGCAGUAGGGAAUCUUCCACAAUGGACGAAAGUCUGAUGGAGCAACGCCGCGUGAGUGAAGAAGGGUUUCGGCUCGUAAAACUCUGUUGUUAAAGAAGAACAUAUAUCUGAGAGUAACUGUUCAGGUAUUGACGGUAUUUAACCAGAAAGCCACGGCUAACUACGUGCCAGCAGCCGCGGUCAUACG
rnacentral:rRNA from 2 species